AGUCGAGGGGCAGCGAGAGUGAUAGCAAUAUUACUUGUCGGCGACCGGCGCACGGGUGCGUAACGCGUAUGCAACCUACCAUCAACAGGGGGAUAACACUGAGAAAUUGGUACUAAUACCCCAUAAUAUCUCAUGCGGCAUCGCAUGGGGUUGAAAACUCCGGUGGUUGAUGAUGGGCAUGCGUUGUAUUAGCUGGUUGGUGAGGUAACGGCUCACCAAGGCGACGAUACAUAGGGGGACUGAGAGGUUAACCCCCCACAUUGGUACUGAGACACGGACCAAACUCCUACGGGAGGCAGCAGUGAGGAAUAUUGGUCAAUGGACGCAAGUCUGAACCAGCCAUGCCGCGUGCAGGAUGACGGCUCUAUGAGUUGUAAACUGCUUUUGUACGAGGGUAAACCCCGAUACGUGUAUCGGGUUGAAAGUAUCGUACGAAUAAGGAUCGGCUAACUCCGUGCCAGCAGCCGCGGUAAUACGGAGGAUCCGAGCGUUAUCCGGAUUUAUUGGGUUUAAAGGGUGCGUAGGCGGUUUGAUAAGUUAGAGGUGAAAUGUCGGGGCUCAACCCCGAAACUGCCUCUAAUACUGUUGGACUAGAGAAUAGUUGCGGUAGGCGGAAUGUAUGGUGUAGCGGUGAAAUGCUUAGAGAUCAUACAGAACACCGAUUGCGAAGGCAGCUUACCAAACUAUAUCUGACGUUGAGGCACGAAAGCGUGGGUAGCAAACAGGAUUAGAUACCCUGGUAGUCCACGCAGUAAACGAUGAAUACU
rnacentral:rRNA from 1 species